GGGGUAUAGCUCAGUUGGCUAGAGCGUCUGACUGGCAGUCAGAAGGUCAGGGGUUCGAGUCCCCUUACCUCC
rnacentral:tRNA from 1 species